UGCCGGUCCCUAACCAGAAAGCCACGGCUAAUUACGUGCCAGCAGCCGCGGUAAUACGUAGGUGGCAAGCGUUGUCCGGAAUUAUUGGGCGUAAAGCGCGCGCAGGCGGUUUCUUAAGUCUGAUGUGAAAGCCCCCGGCUCAACCGGGGAGGGUCAUUGGAAACUGGGGAACUUGAGUGCAGAAGAGGAGAGUGGAAUUCCACGUGUAGCGGUGAAAUGCGUA
rnacentral:rRNA from 1 species